ensembl:lncRNA
GACAAGCCAUCAUAAGGAAAUGAAAGGUGAGAUGAUGUUAGGAUCAGUACAUGGGUAAACAGCACCCAGAACAUCAAAGACUUUGCUGAAUUCCUUUCAUGAAUUUUCUUCCUUCCUUUUCUUUAGAAAAUCUCAAAAGACUGAAUAAGAAUAAAAUAAUGCCAAAAUGUGGCCACUGAAACCUACCUGUAUUACCAGACCCAUUUAUGAAAGAUGGUUAGAAUUAUCCUCAAUCAUCCUUGGGUGGACACUGAGUAUUAUCUAUCCAGAUUUAAACUGCCAAUUCAGAAAAGCAUCUCCAUCCAGGACAACACUUAAACUGAAGCCAUUUUUUUUCAUUAGUACAGAACUUGUAUGAGGACAUGUUGUGGUGAGUCAGUCACCAAAGAUUUGAAAAGUGAAGAAGAAUGAAAUCUGAGCAGUGAUCAAGUACCUCCAUAAGAAUGGCUUGUCCCCAAAGGAAAUCCAUGAGGACAUGGUGGCAACGCUGGUGGAUGAUGCCCUUUCAUAUACCACAGUAAAAAACUAGGCUGUUGAAUUUAAGCGAGGGAGAAUCAGCACAGAGGAUAAUCUAAGAUCAGGUAUACUCCAGAGAGGACAUCACACCAGAGAAAGUUGAUGUAGUCCAUCAGAUGGUGAUGAAUGACAGAUCAUCAUCAGUCAGGCACAUAGCUGAGACAGCAGGCAUCAAUGCUGGGUCAUAGAAUCAUAGAAGAUUAGGGUUGGAAGAGACCUCAGGAGGUCAUCUAGUCCAACCCCCUGCUCAAAGCAGGACCAACCCCAACUAAAUCAUACCAGCCAGGGCUUGUCAAGCCGGGCCUUAAAAACCUCUAAGGAUGGAGAUUACACCACCUCCCUAGGUAACCCAUUCCAGUGCUUCAGCACCCUCCUUGUGAAAUAGUUUUUCCUAAUAUCCAA